UACGGAGGGUGCGAGCGUUGUUCGGAAUCACUGGGCGUAAAGCGCGUGUAGGCGGCCCACUAAGUCUGAUGUGAAAGCCCGGGGCUCACCCCCGGAAGUGCAUUGGAAACUGGUGGACUCGAGUCCCGGAGAGGAGAGUGGAAUUCCUGGUGUAGCGGUGAAAUGCGUAGAUAUCUGGAGGAACACCGGUGGCGAAGGCGGCAUCCUGGACCGGCAUUGACGCUGAGGCGCGAAAGCUAGGGGAGCAAACGGG
rnacentral:rRNA from 1 species